GGAGAGGUGGCUGAGUGGUUUAAAGCGGCACCCUGCUAAGGUGUUGGGGGUGUAAAAGCUCCUCGAGAGUUCGAAUCUCUCCCUCUCCGCCA
rnacentral:tRNA from 1 species